UUACUUCUGUGUGUGUUUUUUCCAUGUUUUUUUCCUGACAUAUUUCGUGGGUGUUAAAACUGUAAUCAAUUUUUCCAAAAUAUCUCUUGCUCGUUUCGUCACAUUCGGAACACUUUCAGAACAAUUAAAGUAAUUAUAGUUUCAGAUCGCUACCGAUUUAGUUAAUUUAAUUACUUGAGAGUAGACCCCUUUGCUUCUCUGUUGCAAUUGUGAGUUAAAACCAUUAUGGAAAUGUGGUUUGCAUUUGUUAUUUUUAAGUUGGAAAACUUGACAACUACAUAUUCCUUUGUAAGAUUUAUCAAGCCAGGUGAAGUCUGCGCUUCUUUGUUGCAGUCUAAUGUGCACAUGGAUUGGUUUCAGUCAAACAGUAAAAGGUGUGAUUAAACUGAGCUGUUGCAUGCAGUCUUUGGUGCCGAUGUUGUCCUGGAGUGUGGGGGAGUUCCAUGCUUCAAGUCUUAUGGGAUCAGCCAUAUCUGGUUGACGCUGGAUCAUGCUGCAUUUUGGUUGCCGAAAUGUUGGACAUCUAUUAGAACUGCAAGAAGACUUCUUGAAAUGGUUUAUGUUUACGUAGCAGUGAUGUUGCUGUCCAAUAUGGCGUGCUGUUCCAGCCUAUACUGGUGAAAGAUCUUUGCAUCGAGUUAAACUGUUGCUGUUCCUUGAUGCCGGACUGCUGGUGUUGUGCAGAAAAGUUCCAUCCAGUUUUAAUUGUUAUUUGUGUCUAUACAGUUAACUGUUUAUAUGUUGAAAAGGAACAGAAACAGUUACUUGGUGUUGAAUCGCUAGUGUUGUGCUACAGAAGUUACAUCCAGUAUUUUGUUUACUUGCUAUUUGCUCUAUGAAGUUAACCGUUUAUAUGCU